UAGAGGAAGUAAAAGUCGUAACAAGGUCUCCGUUGGUGAACCAGCGGAGGGAUCAUUACCGAGUUUACAACUCCCAAACCCCUGUGAACAUACCUUAAUGUUGCCUCGGCGGAUCAGCCCGCGCCCGGUAAAACGGGACGGCCCGCCAGAGGAUCCAAACUCUUGCUGUUAUUGUAACUUCUGAGUAAAACAAACAAAUAAAUCAAAACUUUCAACAACGGAUCUCUUGGUUCUGGCAUCGAUGAAGAACGCAGCAAAAUGCGAUAAGUAAUGUGAAUUGCAGAAUUCAGUGAAUCAUCGAAUCUUUGAACGCACAUUGCGCCCGCCAGUAUUCUGGCGGGCAUGCCUGUUCGAGCGUCAUUUCAACCCUCAAGCCCCCGGGUUUGGUGUUGGGGAUCGGCAAGCCUUCUGGCGAGCCGCCCCCUAAAUCUAGUGGCGGUCUCACUGCAGCCUCCAUUGCGUAGUAGCUAACACCUCGCAACUGGAACGCGGUGCGGCCAUGCCGUUAAACCCCCAACUUCUGAAUGUUGACCUCGGAUCAGGUAGGAAUACCCGCUGAACUUAAGCAUA
rnacentral:rRNA from 1 species